rnacentral:rRNA from 1 species
GAUGAACGCUGGCGGCGUGCUUAACACAUGCAAGUCGAACGAACGGAGGAGUGCUUGCACUCCAAAGUUAGUGGCGGACGGGUGAGUAACGCGUGGGUAACCUGCCUCAUGCAGGGGGAUAACAUCUGGAAACGGAUGCUAAUACCGCAUAAACUAUGGAUGACCGCAUGGUCAUUAUAGCAAAGNUUUAUCGGCAUGAGAUGGACCCGCGUUGGAUUAGCUAGUUGGUGAGAUAACAGCCCACCAAGGCGACGAUCCAUAGCCGGCCUGAGAGGGUGAAACGGCCACAUUGGGACUGAGACA